UUACGUGACGAAGCGCGUGCCAAAGUAGACAAUAAGGCAUAAGUUACGCGUUACGAUGCCAGACGCCAGCUCCGCUGGCGUUUUUU
rnacentral:sRNA from 1 species